AGGUGGGUGACCCAGGCGCGGGCCCCACGCAUGCGUCCUUCUGACCCUUCGCUACAGCCCGGAAGCGCCGCGGCGGCUCUAGUUUGUUCACCCUGCAGGCUUUUUCCUUUAGCAAAAGGAAAAAAAAAAAAGACUCUCUGCCUCAACCCUCAGCUGAGCAGCUUUGCCGGUCGUCGCUGACGCUCGCGACGCUGGGAAUGGGAUCAACUGGUUGGUAGACAGGCGUCGGGCAGCCAAAAAGUCACAUCCUUUAAAAUUUAGAAGCUUUGACUUGGUAGAAGGAAGCUAAGUGCGGCAGGAGCCCUGUCUUUUGUUCCUGGUUGGUCUGGUGUUGCUGGUUUUGCGCGUAGGUCACCGUCCUCCACCCCCUGGUCCCCUAAGUCCCAGGUGAGUGACCGCGGUGGGAGCCCAGCCCGAACCCCGGUGCUUCCGAUCGUCGCCGGGCCUUGAGGCUAGUGUCUCAAAGGCUGGGCUGUCUCGUUUGGAAUAACAAUACGGAGUUGUUUUAAGGAUUGAGUGAGAUCCAGAAAAUACCUGUCAAGCGCAGACUAGACUCUGUUGCCUGCAGAGAAAUUUUAACGUUUCAUGAAUGUUAGCUGCUGUUACCAUCAUGGUCACCGCAUACCUGGGAAGGAAGGACGGAAGGAAGGAAUGGAAUUUUAUUUCUCUUUGGGCAGGACCGGUUUGUUUCGCUGGUGGAAUAUGAAGAUACGUGAAAGUAAGAAAUACAAGUCAAAAUAAUACACAAUUUUUUUUUUGAAGAUUUAAAGUUACUACAGCUAAGUCUUCACAAUGUUGGUGAACAUGCAAUCUCAUAACAUGUAUUAAGACUAUUAAAAUUUGGGGGCACCUAAAAAAAAUUGGGGUGGGGGCACCUGGCUGGCUGAAUAGAAGCAAGAUGGGACUCGAUUUCAAGGUCCUGAGUUACAGAGCCACCUUGGGUGUAAAGAUUACUAAAAAUAAAUUAAAUAAACUAAUUUUUGGGACUUUAAUUUUCUCAUCCUUUGGUGCAGCAAUCUUACCCUUUGGAAUUUAUCUUAAAACUAAUGAGAACUCUAAAAAAGAUUUAUGUACAAAGUGUGUUCAUUUAACCUAAAUGCCCAACAAUGGGGCAUUGAUCAAAUCAUUUUCAACCCCUCUUGUUUAGCCAAAUCUUCCGAAGGUGAAGGAAGAGGGCAGGGAAUGGCGUCUUCCACUAACAUUAUUUGAGUUUUCAAAAUAAAUAGCUUGGUUUCAACAAAUCAUAAUCUUGGGGACCCUCCGCCUCCCAAUGGAAAACAGAGAUACACAACAGUAUUUUGUAUACAUUUUCAAAGAGUUCAAAGUUUUUCUUGAAGUCUGUCCAUUAAGACUAGAGUAAAAACCCUAGCUGUAAAAUAAUUAAGGAUGGCAAAAAAAAAAAAAAAAAA